AAAAACUCGAAGAAUGUGAGGAAUAGCGUCAGUAAACCGUUCAGAGAGAAAGGUCAUAGCUGGGAGGCCUUUUCGGAAACACGCUUUGGUCGCACAGGAGGGGCAGGGGGGAAUAAUGUACUCUCUGACGGAAAACCCGUUAACGUCUAAUAAGUCCUGAGAGACAAUGCUCCUCAGAAUAAAGGUGGUACCACGGAAGUUUUUCGUCCUUUAC
rnacentral:ncRNA from 1 species